rnacentral:rRNA from 1 species
UACGUAGGGGGCAAGCGUUGUCCGGAUUUAUUGGGCGUAAAGCGCUCGCAGGUGGUUCGUCGCGUCGUGCGUGAAAGACCCCGGCUCAACUGGGGGAUGUCGUGCGAUACGGGCGAACUGGAGGCCAGUAGGGGGAUGCGGAAUUCCGGGUGUAGUGGUGGAAUGCGUAGAGAUCCGGAGGAACACCAGCGGCGAAGGCGGCAUCCUGGACUGGUCCUGACACUCAUGAGCGAAAGCGUGGGGAGCGAGUCCGG